ACGAACGCUGGCGGCGUGCCUAAUACAUGCAAGUUGAGCGCUGAAGGUUGGUACUUGUACCAACUGGAUGAGCAGCGAACGGGUGAGUAACGCGUGGGGAAUCUGCCUUUGAGCGGGGGACAACAUUUGGAAACGAAUGCUAAUACCGCAUAAAAACUUUAAACACAAGUUUUAAGUUUGAAAGAUGCAAUUGCAUCACUCAAAGAUUAUCCCGCGUUGUAUUAGCUAGUUGGUGAGGUAAAGGCUCACCAAGGCGAUGAUACAUAGCCGACCUGAGAGGGUGAUCGGCGACAUUGGGACUGAGAAACGGCCCAAACUACUACGGGAGGCAGCAGUAGGGAAUCUUCGGCAAGGGACGAAAGUAUGACCGAGCAACGCCGCGUGAGUGAAGAAGGUUUUCGGAUCGUAAAACUCUGUUGGUAGAGAAGAACGUUGGUGAGAGUGGAAAGCUCAUCAAGUGACGGUAACUACCCAGAAAGGGACGGCUAACUACGUG
rnacentral:rRNA from 1 species